rnacentral:sRNA from 1 species
GCGGGGCGUGGUGAUGCACGCCUGUAAUUCCAGUGGCUCAGCAGGCUGAGGCAGGAGGAUCGCAAGUUUAAAGCUAGGCUCAGCAACUUGGCGAGACCCUGUCUCAA